rnacentral:rRNA from 1 species
UACCAGCACCCCGAGUGGUCGGGACGUUUAUUGGGCCUAAAGCAUCCGUAGCCGGUUCUACAAGUCUUCCGUUAAAUCCAACUGCUUAACAGGUGGGCUGCGGAAGAUACUAUAGAGCUAGGAGGCGGGAGAGGCAAGCGGUACUCGAUGGGUAGGGGUAAAAUCCGUUGAUCCAUUGAAGACCACCAGUGGCGAAGGCGGCUUGCCAGAACGCGCUCGACGGUGAGGGAUGAAAGCUGGGGGAGCAAAGCCGG